rnacentral:rRNA from 1 species
CAGUAGCCGCGGUAAUACGAAGGGGGCUAGCGUUGUUCGGAUUUACUGGGCGUAAAGGGCGCGUAGGCGGACUGAUAAGUCAGGGGUGAAAUCCCAAGGCUCAACCUUGGAACUGCCUUUGAUACUGUUUGUCUUGAGUUCGAGAGAGGUAAGUGGAACUGCGAGUGUAGAGGUGAAAUUCGUAGAUAUUCGCAAGAACACCAGUGGCGAAGGCGGCUUACUGGCUCGAAACUGACGCUGAGGCGCGAAAGCGUGGGGAGCAAACAGGAUUAGAUACCCGGGUAGUCCCUGUCUCUUAUAC